GGCUGUGUGGUGAAAUGGUAUCGUGUCUGACUACGAUUCCUCCAUUUUUCCGCCCUAUGUAAUCAGGAGACUCUGGGUUCAAUCCCUAGGAUGGCCU